GAAAUGCGAUAAGUAAUGUGAAUUGCAGAAUUCAGUGAAUCAUCGAAUCUUUGAACACACCUUGCACCCAUUGGUAUUCCAAAGGGUAUGCUCAUUUGAGUGUCAUUGUACUCUCACACUCUAAUUUUGGAGAAGUGGACUUGGGUGUUGCUGCUUUGCAGUGGCUCAUCUUAAAUAUGCUAGUGCAACUCAUGGUUGGAUAUAGUACAGCGUGAUAAGUAUCUUUGCUGGCGCCUCAUGCAGAGGGUAUCUGAUUCAGAGCUCUGUGCUUCUAACAGUCCUGUCUGGGACAAUCUCUGACAACUUGGCCUCAAAUUGAGUAGGACUACCUGCUGAACUUAG
rnacentral:misc_RNA from 1 species